rnacentral:rRNA from 1 species
CACGUAGGGCGCAAGCGUUUGUCCGGAAUUAUUGGGCGUAAAGAGCUCGUAGGCGGUCUGUUGCGUCCGCUGUGAAAACUCGGGGCUUAACCCCGAGCCUGCAGUGGAUACGGGCAGACUAGAGGUAGGUAGGGGGAGAAUGGAAUUCCCGGUGUAGCGGUGAAAUGCGCAGAUAUCAGGAGGAACACCGGUGGCGAAGGCGGGACUCUGGGCCGAUACUGACGUGAGGAGCGAAAGCGUGGGGAGCAAACAGG